rnacentral:rRNA from 1 species
CCGCCUGGGAACUACGAGCCUAAGCUUAAAACCCAAAGGACUUGGCGGUGCCCCAAACCCACCUAGAGGAGCCUGUUCUAUAAUCGAUAAUCCCCGCUUUACCUCACCACUUCUAGCCAAUACCGCCUAUAUACCACCGUCGGCAGCCCACCCUGUGAGGCUGAUUAGUAGGCUCAAUGACACCAUCAACACGUCAGGUCAAGGUGUAGCGUAUGGAGUGGGAAGAAAUGGGCUACAUUUUCUAAAUUAGAAAACAACGGAAGACCAUUAUGAAACCUGGUCUGAAGGCGGAUUUAGCAGUAAAAAGAAACAGGAGAGUUCUUUUUAAAGGCGGCCCUUGGGCGCGC